ACAUUUUAUUGAGGGUUUACCAAUUGCCAGUCACUGUUGUAGGUGCUGUGGGGCAAGUGAGAUUAAGACCUUGCCCUCUAAGUAAUAUUAAAUAGAUGAUAAUGUGAUAGCAAGUGACAGCUGGAGUGAGAGACUGUGCUUGAGUUAGGGUAAUCAAGAAAGGUCUCAUAGAAGAAGUGGUUAGGUAAGACUGGGUGUAGUCAUGUGAAGAUGUAGAGAAGAACUUUCCAAGCAGAAGAGACACAAAAUGCAAAAGCUAUGAGAUGGGCAAGAGCAUAUGUGUUAAUAAGACAGAAGGAAAGCCUGUGUGGAUGAGCAAUGGGAAAAGAGAAGAGAAAAGAAAAGAAAGAUGAAGUCUGAAGUCUAAGGAACAGGAACAAGUCUGAAUCUUGUACAGCCUUGUAGCCCAUGCAGGAGUCUAAAAACUCAAACGUAUCUAAAAGCCAUGACACAGAAGGCCUGGAGACUGCAUGGAAUGAUGAGGACUGCAGUGAACUCUGAAGUGCCUACCCAUGUGAAACGAACAAGUGCUAUUCGGAAGAAGCAGGUUGUGUUAAUGUGGAAGUAGCUGGAUGCCAGUUUUCUGAGAUUUGCCCAAACAUGGAUGACUUGCAUGUUACGAAAGGAUUUUGCCGUGUCAAAUGUUUUCAUUUCGUUUAUUAGUUAAGACAUAUAAUUCAAAACUCUUUGGCCACCUCUAGGAAUCUCCCUAUUACCUGAGACACAAUAUUAUGGAAAUUGGGUUAAUUAAUAACCCUACAGUAACCUCUAAACAUUCAAAUGGAAGGAAGAAUCUCAUCUCUCUCACUUUAAAGCAAAAGCUAUGAAUGAUUAAGCUUAGUGAGGAGGGCAUAUCAAAAGCCAAGAUAGGCCGAAAGCUAGGUCCCUUGUGCCAAACAGCCAAUUCGUGAAUGCAAAGGAAAAGUUAUUGAAGAAAACUAAAAGUGCUCCUCCAGCAAACACACAAUGAUAAGAAAGUGAGAAACUCCUAUUGUUGAUGUGGAGAAAGGUUGAAUGGUCUAGAUAGAAGGUCAAACAAGCCAGAUUUCCUUAAUCCAAAGCCUAAUCCAGAAUAAGACUCUAACUCUCUUCAAUUCUAUGAAUGCUGAAAGAAAGAGAUGAGGAAGCUGAUGAAGAAAAAUUUGAAGCCAGCAGAGGUUGGUUCAUGAGGCUUAAAGAAAGAAGCCAUCUCCAAAACACGAAAGUGCAAAGUGAAGAAGCAAGUGCUGAUACAGAAAUUGCAGCAACCUAUCCAGAAGAUCCAGCUAAGACCUUUGAUGAGUGUAGCUACAUUAAACAAUAUAUUUUCUAUGUAGACAAAACAGCCUUCAAUUAGAAGAUAAUGCCAUCAAGAACUUUCACAGAAAAGAGAGGUCAAUGACUGGCCUCAAAGCUUCAAAGGACAGGCUGACUCUCUAAUAGGUGAAAGGGAGUUGCCUCGUCUCAUGAGACUUUGGACUGUGGACUUUUGAGUUAAUGCUGAAAUGAGUUAAGACUUGGGGGACUGUUGAGAAGGGAUGAUUGUAUUUUGCAAUAUGAGAAGGACAUGAGAUGUGGGAGGGGCCAGGGCUGAAAUGAUAUGGUUUGGAUUUGCGUCCCUGCCCAAAUCUCAUGUAGAAUUGUAAUCCCCAGUGUUGGAGAAGGGGCCUGGUGGGAGGUGAUUGGAUCAUGGGGGAGGAUUGCCCCCUUGCUGUUCUUGUGAUAUUGAGUGAGUUCUCAGGAGAUCUGGCUGAUUAAAAGUGUGUAGCACCUCCCCCUGUGCUGUCUUCCUCCCACUCCAGCCAUGUAAGACGUGCUUGCUUUUCCCUCACCCUCAGCCAUGAUUCUAAGUUUCCUGAGGCCUCCCCAGCCAUGCUUCAUGUACAGCCUGUGGAACCAUGCACCAAUUAAACCUCUUGUCU
rnacentral:lncRNA from 1 species